CAGAGGUGGCAAGCGUUGUUCGGAAUUACUGGGCGUAAAGGGCGCGUAGGCGGCCUUCUAAGUCAGACGUGAAAUCCCCAGGCUUAACUUGGGAACUGCGUCUGAUACUGGAGGGCUCGAGUGCGGGAGAGGGAUGUGGAAUUCCAGGUGUAGCGGUGAAAUGCGUAGAUAUCUGGAGGAACACCGGUGGCGAAGGCGGCAUCCUGGACCGACACUGACGCUGAGGCGCGAAAGCUAGGGGAGCAAACGGGAUUAGAUACCCCGGUAGUCCUAGCCCUAAACGAUGAGUGCUUGGUGUGGCGGGUAUCGAUCCCUGCCGUGCCAAGCUAACGCAUUAAGCACUCCGCCUGGGGAGUACGGUCGCAAGGCUG
rnacentral:rRNA from 1 species